AUAUUGGAAGAGCUUUCACCAUUUACAUUAUAUAGCUUUUUUGCUGCUGCAAGAACUAGAAAAGGACUUGGUCCUUCCAGUAUUCUUUUCUUUUACACAGAUGAGUCAGUGCCGUUAGCACCUCCACAAAAUUUGACUUUAAUCAACUGUACUUCAGACUUUGUAUGGCUGAAAUGGAGCCCAAGUCCUCUUCCAGGCGGUAUUGUUAAAGUAUAUAGUUUUAAAAUUCAUGAACAUGAAACUGACACUAUAUAUUAUAAGAAUAUAUCAGGGUUUAAAACUGAAGCCAAACUUGUUGGACUGGAACCAGUCAGCACCUACUCUAUCCGUGUAUCUGCGUUCACCAAAGUUGGAAAUGGCAAUCAAUUUAGUAAUGUAGUAAAAUUCACAACCCAAGAAUCAGGUUAGAUACAGUUUUUGAGCCUAAAAUGUUUCUUUUUAUAUUUAACACCUUUCUUUUCCUUUUCUUAGUUUAUAUGAUAAAGUAUCAUUACUUAAGAGUCUACUCAAAGGGAAAUUGCAUUUCAGUGCUUUACGUUUAGUCUUGGUCUUGUGUGAAAUCAUAUGCUGUAUGUGUGUUUAUACAUAUAUUUUUACACAUGGUUUUUCCUUUUGAACAGAGGAAGUUGAAAUAAAAUAGUAGUUUGGGAACAAAAUAGCCUUCUAGAUAUCUGUGAAAAUUACCUAAUUCUUAGAACUGUUUGAGACAGCUGUGGAAAAAGGGGGAAAUGAACUAGCAGUCACUUUUAACAGGCUGAUUUAUAUUUUUAAUGAAACAAUAUCUAUAAUUUUCUUUUAAGAAGAUUAGUUGUGACAUUUGGAGAGCAUG
rnacentral:sRNA from 1 species